ACCUUUACGCAGUGGCAGUAUCGCAGCCAAUGAAGUUUAUCUGAGGCGUGAUUACUGCUAAUAA
rnacentral:snRNA from 1 species